AGAGUUUGAUCAUGGCUCAGAAUGAACGCUGGCGGCGUGCUUAACACAUGCAAGUCGAACGAGACUGUGGGGGCAACUCUGCAGUUUAGUGGCGGACGGGUGAGUAACACGUGGGUAACCUGCCCGGAAGUGGGGAAUACCUCGGGGAAACUCGAGCUAAUACCGCAUGACAUCUUCGGGACGAGAGUCCUGACGAUCAAAGCGGGGUCGCAAGAUCUCGCGCUACCGGAUGGGCCCGCGCCCGAUUAGCUAGUUGGCGAGGUAAUGGCUCACCAAGGCUUCGAUCGGUAACCGGCCUGAGAGGGCGAUCGGUCACACCGGAACUGAGACACGGUCCGGACUCCUACGGGAGGCAGCAGUGGGGAAUCUUGCGCAAUGGGCGAAAGCCUGACGCAGCAACGCCGCGUGGAGGAUGAAGGCCCUUGGGUUGUAAACUCCUGUCGGUUGGGAAGAAAUCUUACGGGGUUAAUACCUCCGUGAGUUGACUGUACCAGCAAAGGAAGCCCCGGCUAACUCUGUGCCAGCAGCCGCGGUAAUACAGAGGGGGCCAGCGUUAUUCGGAAUUAUUGGGCGUAAAGGGCGCGUAGGCGGCCAUGCGUGUCUUUCGUGAAAUCCCUCGGCUUAACUGAGGACGUGCGGAAGAAACUGCAAGGCUUGAGUCCGGGAGAGGGGGGUGGAAUUCCCAGUGUAGCGGUGAAAUGCGUAGAUAUUGGGAGGAACACCGGUGGCGAAGGCGGCCCCCUGGACCGGUACUGACGCUGAGGCGCGAAAGCGUGGGUAGCAAACGGGAUUAGAUACCCCAGUAGUCC
rnacentral:rRNA from 1 species